ACACCAAACAACUCAUUACACAAAGAGGUAAGGUCCCAGACCACGCCAAAGCUUCCUGAGACCUCUCCUCAUCUGUGCAUGGACGGAUGACCAACUCUGGGGCCCAGGCUGUUGCUUCCCAGUAUAAUGAUGAAUCCGCCAUAGUCUGGUGAGUGUAGAGGCUGACUCUGGAGCCCAGGCUGUACCUUCUCGGUCUGGUGAUGAAUCCUCAAUCGUGUGAAAGAAACACAUAAUAGUGUCUUAUGAACAGAAGCCACAGUGCCUUAUGAACAGAAGCCAUAUCUGUGUUCAGACACUGGCCAGAAAAGACGAUGGAGUCUCGCUCUGUCACCCAGGCUGGAGUGCAGUGCAGUGGUGCGAACUCGGCUCAUUGCUGGAUCUUACGUGUGAAGCACUCUCCCCACCCCGCUGGUCAUGUGAAGAUGUGCUUGCUUCCCUUUUGCCUUCAACCAUGGUUAACCAUACAUACACUGUCCUUCCUUCCAUGUACGUUCUUUGCACCUUUACAAAAGAUGAGUUCAUUCUAGUGUGGCCCUUGGAUGACAUACUUGGGCACUGGGGCUUGGGUAAACCUCAGCUUGGCAGACCUGACCUCAGGAUCCCCAGUGGUGCACGCUGGUGCUGGUUGUGGUAAGCCUGCCUGGGUCAGGUAAUUUCCAGGCUCAUUGUAGAAUGCUUAGGUGGGAGGAGCAGUGGUUGUGUUAUGGCUCUGCUGCUGGGGAGGGCAAGGUUGAUUUCAGUGACAGCAUCUAAAAACAGGCAGCUGAGGAGUGCAUGCUUGGACCCCUAGUGGCAGCUAAAAGCAAGGCAGCCUCUCCUCAGGGUGCUUUAAAAUAUGUGGUGGCCCUGCUACCAGGAGUCACUACCAAGGGUUCAUGCUUCAGCCCUGGGAGUAGCAGCCAGCAUUCUCUCUCAGGUAAUCUAUUCAAAUUGUGACCAUCUACAUUUAGAUAUCUUCUUUGUAAAGGGGGUAAGUAAUAGAUGCUUCUAGUCGCCCUUCUUAAAUCCCAUGUCAAGCCCAUUUUCAUUAAAAUUACUGAUAAGUAAGGAUUUACUAUUGCCAUUUUGUUAUCUGUUUUUUAUUUGUCUUGUGAUUGCUUUGUCCCUCGUAGCUUUUUUUGCUAUCUCAUUUUGUGUUUUGGUGCUUUUCCUUUUGCAUUACUAGGUUUUGAUUCUUGUAUUUUAUUUUCUUUGUGUAACUACAGUAACUAUUUUAUUUGUUGUUAUCAAGGGGCUUAAAUAAAUUAUAUUAUGGUUACAAGUUAACUUUAAGCUGAUAACAGCAUAACUUUUCUUGCAUUCAGACUUUGUUCUUUUACAUCUAUUUUACUUACAGUGUGUUCUGUUUAUGUCAGAAUUUUCAACUCUGUAUUGUGUGUAUCCACUAUAUAAUUUAGUUAUAGUUGUUUUAAUAUUUUUGUCUUUCGGCUUUUAUAGUAGGAUUACAAUAGAUUCAUUCACCACUUUUAUAACACUAAAUUUUUUUCAUCGAUAUUUUUUCAUUUGCCAACCAGUGUCACACUUUCUUUUGCUCUCAUGUUGCUGUUUUCUAUCUUGUCAUUUCAACUUGAUGAACUUCAUGUAGCACUUUUUGUAAGGCAGGUCUAGUGGUGAUAAAUUCCUUCAGCUGUUGUCUGUGAAAGUUUUUAUCUCUCCUUAAUUAAUAAAGAACAUGUUUGCUGGUACAGUAUUCUUGGUUGAUAGGGUUGUUUUUCUUCUGUCAGCACUUUGAAUAUAUUAUCUCACUUUUUUCUAACCUGUAUUAUUUCUACUGAAAAACCUGCAGAUCAUAUUAUGAAUCUUCCCUUGUGUUUAAUAGAUCACUUUUCUUUUGCUACUUUCAGAAUUAUCUUUUUGACUUUAAUUUUUCCCAAUUUUAUUAUAAUGUGUCUUAGUAUCAGUCACUUUGGAUUCAUCUUUGGAUUCCUGGACGUGAAUUUCUAUUUUUUUUUCAGGUUUGGACAGUUUCCAGCCAUAAUUUAUUUGAAUACUUUUUUCUGUUUUUUUCUUUUUCUCUUCUCUUCUUUUUCUGAGACUUGAAAUUGCUUAUAUUAGUGUACUUGAUGAUGUCUCGUAAGUCCCCUAGGCUUUCUUUACUUUUCAAAUUUUUUGCUCUCAGAUUAAAUGAUUUCUAAUAACCUGUUUUUGAGUUCACUGUUCCUUUCUUCUACUUGAUUUAAUCUGAUAUGGAAUUCCUCUAUUUAUUUUUAAGUUAUGUUAUUGUGUCCUUCAGCUGUUUGAGUUCUUUAUAUUUUUAUAUUACCUAUCCCUUUGUUGAAAUUAUUAGUUGGUUCAUGCUUUGCUCUUCUGAGUUCAGUAAGCAUAGCUAUAAGCAUUCUUUUGAAUUAUCUGUUGGGUAAAUUAUACCAUUGAUGGUUAAUACUGAGUGUCAAUUUGAUUGGAUUGAAGGAGGCAAAGUAUUGAUCCUGAGUGUGUCGGUGAGGGU